rnacentral:rRNA from 1 species
UACGUAGGGUGCAAGCGUUGUCCGGAAUUAUUGGGCGUAAAGAGCUCGUAGGCGGCCUGUCGCGUCGGUUGUGAAAGCCCGGGGCUCAACCCCGGGUCUGCAGUCGAUACGGGCAGGCUAGAGUUCGGUAGGGGAGAUCGGAAUUCCUGGUGUAGCGGUGAAAUGCGCAGAUAUCAGGAGGAACACCGGUGGCGAAGGCGGAUCUCUGGGCCGAUACUGACGCUGAGGAGCGAAAGCGUGGGGAGCGAACAGG